rnacentral:rRNA from 1 species
UACGUAGGGUGCAAGCGUUAAUCGGAAUUACUGGGCGUAAAGCGUGCGCAGGCGGCUUUGCAAGACAGAUGUGAAAUCCCCGGGCUCAACCUGGGAACUGCAUUUGUGACUGCAUGGCUAGAGUGCGGCAGAGGGGGAUGGAAUUCCGCGUGUAGCAGUGAAAUGUGUAGAUAUGCGGAGGAACACCGAUGGCGAAGGCAGUCCCCUGGGCCUGCACUGACGCUCAUGCACGAAAGCGUGGGGAGCAAACAGG